rnacentral:rRNA from 1 species
AUUGAACGCUGGCGGCAUGCCUUACACAUGCAAGUCGAACGGCAGCACGGGAGCAAUCCUGGUGGCGAGUGGCGAACGGGUGAGUAAUGUAUCGGAACGUGCCCAGUCGUGGGGGAUAACGCAGCGAAAGCUGUGCUAAUCACGCAUCCGAUCUAUGGAUGAAAGCGGGGGAUCGCAAGACCUCGCGCGAUUGGAGGGGCCGAUAUCGGAUUAGGUAGUUGGUGGGGUAAAGGCCCACCAAGCCGACGAUCUGUAGCUGGUCUGAGAGGACGACCAGCCACACUGGGACUGAGACACGGCCCAGACUCCUACGGGAGGCAGCAGUGGGGAAUUUUGGACAAUGGGCGCAAGCCUGAUCCAGCAAUGCCGCGUGCAGGAUGAAGGCCUUCGGGUUGUAAACUGCUUUUGUACGGAGCGAAACGGCUUCCACUAAUACUGGGGGCUAAUGACGGUACCGUAAGAAUAAGCACCGGCUAACUACGUGCCAGCAGCCGCAGUAA